GUUGCUAAGUGAGCGGGCAUUUCAGGACAUAAGCAAGUGAUUUAGAAAUAAUUUGUAUGGGCAAACGGAAUAACACUGCAUAAACAACUAAUUUACAAUCAGGAUAAUGUUUAUUGCAUAAACAUCAGUUGCUCUGAAAUACUGCAAGGAGAAAAAUAAGUUUCAAGUUCGAAAGAUGAUGCAGGUUAAAGGGCGAAAAUAAGUGCAUCUUUCGUUGCAGUAUAUGUUAUGAGGAAUUUUACAUCAGGGGAGGAUUGAGAUAUCAUGCCCCAUUCAUGGACCACAUGAGUUUAAAUGUAGAAUAUGCAAGAAAGAACCCUUCAACAAAGCCGGACUAAAACAGCAAAUAAAAAAUACGAACAUAACAAAACAUGUACAGCUGAUGUUUGUCGUGUUUUUGUUUUAUUUAUAAAGUCUACAUAGACACGUCUGACAUAUAAUUGCUAUGAGUGCUACUUACUUACACGUUUUAUUCCAUAUAUGUCAUGAUGCUAGUUUCUCACUUUGUUAUGAAAAUAAACCAUUAUCUGUGUUA